AGAACAUGGGUAGACAGUUGGUGUGUAAUAAACAGAUGAGAGGCCUCGUUGUUGUUUGGUUGAGUCAUCUAGCGGAGUUUAGAUGACGACCACUGGCUAUUCUAGACAGUCUUGUGGAAACAUUAGCAGGUUCGCCACCUGUAGUUGUUAAUGAACUUGGGUGUUCAUUCUCUGUACUCCAUCCCCCUCAUGGUUGCCUUAUUUGACUUAUAUUGCUUAGGUACCCCCGAAGCAUGUGUUGUCGCCCCGAUGAAAUAUUCUUAGACUAGGUCCCUUAUGAUUAGUUGUAUUAGGGACAUUAAAGUGAGAAUAACGGGAAUGGGUAAUUGGGUUAUUGUUGGUUGGUGAAAAUUAAAUAUGAUAUUUAUUGUGGGUUGAAAACCCUAUAUGCUCACCAGGCUCCCAAGCCUGACCCACUCAGUUUUAAUUGUAUUACAGGAAGUGGCGGAAGGGCAUGAGAUGGAUGAACCAUCAAGUUGUUUUGUUUACAAGUCUGCAUAUGUUUAUAUUUGUUAUAUGACUUGUAAUGUAUUCGUUUAUGCUUAUUGGUUUGUAUCGGAACAUGACACCCCGAGUUUUGAUUAUAAUGAAAAUACAUNCCGGUAUCAUACUCUAGCCCCGAGGCAAGUCCCGAGAUCCUGAAGAUCCCGAGAAGUGCGGUUCCCGAGUCGAAGCUCUGCCCGCGAGAAGUUCGAUUUUCGAGAAGAUCUUCCAGAUCUGCUGUGGAUUACUACUUCUAUAAGCCGUAGUGCUGUCCGAUCAUCUUCUGAUCAAGUGAGUGUGUAGUUAUUUCUUCUAAUACAAUAAUACGAAGUAUUUUAUAUAAAAAUACGUGCUAUGUGUAUAUAUUUGGUUGUGUUAUGUGUGAAUGAGUAUUCACUCUCUUCUAUCUUAUAGAUCUGCUUAUUUCUUUAUGAGAUAUGUGUUAUGUGUGUGUGUGCCUCAUCUGUUAUGUGAUAUAUGUGUUGAUUAAAGCAUGCUAUACAGGUUUUCUUUAAACUAUGUAUACAAAUGUAUAUUUUUAUCUACUAAUAUGUUGGGUAGAACAUGGGUAGACAGUUGGUGUGUAAUAAACAGAUGAGAGGCCUCGUUGUUGUUUGAUUGAGUCAUCUAGCGGAGUUUAGAUGACGACCACUGGCUAUUCUAGACAGUCUUGUGGAAACAUUAGCAGGUUCGCCACCUGUAGGUGUUAAUGAACUUGGGUGUUCAUUCGCUGUACUCCAUCCCCCUCAUGGUUGCCUUAUUUGACUUAUAUUGCUGAGGUACCCCCGAAGCAUGUGUUGUCGCCCCGAUGAAAUAUUCUUAGACUAGGUCCCUUAUGAUUAGUUGUAUUAGGGACAUUAAAGUGAGAAUAACGGGAAUGGGUAAUUGGGUUAUUGUUGGUUGGUGAAAAUUAAAUAUGAUAUUUAUUGUGGGUUGAAAACCCUAUAUGCUCACCAGGCUCCCAAGCCUGACCCACUCAGUUUUAAUUGUAUUACAGGAAGUGGCGGAAGGGCAUGAGAUGGAUGAACCAUCCAGUUGGUUUGUUUACAAGUCUGCAUAUGUUUAUAUUUGUUAUAUGACUUGUAAUGUAUUCGUUUAUGCUUAUUGGUUUGUAUCGGAACAUGACACCCCGAGUUUUGAUUAUAAUGAAAAUACAUUUCUUUUUAUGAAACGCUUUGGUAAACAUUGUUUUAUCAUGUUUUGUUUUUGGGAACAAAUUCCGCAACUCUUUCAAAUCAAAAGGAUUUACUCUGAAAAUAUUUUAAAAGCAUAAAUGAAAAUCGGUCUUUUCUGGCCAGGAUUUUGGGGAUGUCACGGUUUUCAUCGGCUACCCACAGAAGUCAUUUGGAUAUCUCUUUUAUAGACCGAGUGACAAUGUUCUCUUUGUUGCGAGGUGAGCAGUCUUUCGUGAGAGAGAGCUGAUAUGCCAAGGAGACAGUGGGAGGCAAAUUGACCUUGAAGAACUUCAAGAGUCAAGCGGUGAAGGAACCACAUACACUAGCGAUCAGCAUGAGGAGGAAACUCAUGUUGAGCUGAUUGACGAAUUUUUACCUCUGAGGCGUUCUGGUAGAGUUAGUGUUCCACCUAUAUUAUAUGGUUUUCAUAUAACAUCUGUGGGUGAUACAUUUAUCAGUAAUAGCACACUGAUAAAUUUAGAUGAACCUAACAACAACAAGGAAGCCAUGGCAGGCCCCGAGUUUGCUAAAUGGAAAGAGGCAAUGGACAACGAGAUUCACUCCAUGUAUGACAAUCAAAUUUGGAACUUGGUUGAUUAUAUACUGGGUCAUAAGACAGUCGUGUGUAAAUGGAUCUUCAAGAAGAAGACCAACAUGGAUGGAAAGGUACACACUUAUAAGGCGUGGCUAGUUGCGAAGGGUUUUACUUAAACUCCAGGAGAUGACUACGAUGAGACCUUCUCGCCAGUAGCC
rnacentral:lncRNA from 1 species